rnacentral:rRNA from 1 species
GAUGAACGCUAGCAGAACGCCUAACACAUGCAAGUCGAACGAACCAGCAAUGGUUAGUGGCAAACGGGCGAGUAACGCGUAUCUAACCUACCCUUGAGUGAGGCACAACUACAGAGAUGUAGCUAAUUCCUCAUACGUUCUAGAGAAUGAAAAUAUCUAGAAGAAAGAUUUAUCGCUCAGGGGAGGGGGUGCGUCCUAUCAGGUAGUUGGUGAGGUAAUAGCUCACCAAGCCUAUGACGGGUAGCCGGUCUGAGAGGAUGUCCGGCCGCAAUGGAACUGAGAACGGUCCAUACUCCUACGGGAGGCAGCAGUGGGGAAUAUUGGACAAUGGGCGGAAAGACCUGAUCCAGCGAUUCUGCGUGAAGGAUGAAGCCUUAUGGGGUGUAAACUUCUUUCUGGGGGAAGACGAAUGACGGUACCUCAGGAAUAAGAGACGGCUAACUACGUGCCAGCAGCCGCGGUAAAGUACAGUGU